GAGCGGAGUCCCAGGUGGCGGGCGCCCCCGGUGUUGGUCGUGGACGCCCGCCGAGCCCGCUGGCUUCACCGCUGACUUGAGGUCCCACGCGGCGGCCAGGCCUUCCCCUGCUAAACUUCAAGGCAGGAAAUCUUGUGCCGUGUCACAUUGAGCACCUCCAGCUGUGAUGGUGCCAGUGGAGUCGUAAAUUUGAGAUGGCGGUAAAAGAAAAAAGACAAUCUGUCCGGGGCGGAGAGACAGGUGCUGCAAUGGACAAAAACCCGGACAAAUACAUUUUCCAGCAGACAGGAAAAGAGACAUUUCAAGCAGAGGAGACCACAUACGUGCAUAGAUGUCUGAAAGAUUAUGGUGUGUGUGAAGAACUGUAAGACGCUCCAAAUGGAGAAUAAAAAGUGGAGAAAAGCAGCAGAUGUGGCUGAAGUGUGCAAUUACUCAUACUAUGGAUUGAACGCAAUAUUUCAUACUAUAUGCAGGAAACAGCAUGAGUGAGUUUUGUGGAGGCUCAAACCCCAGACAGUGUUUCUGCAUAUUAGGUGCUCAGUAAAGUCUUAAGCUUCUAGUAGAGUCUAGGUGCCUGU